GUGCCCCUUUGGCAGCAUAUAUAAUAAAACUGAAAAGAUACAGAGGAGAUGACUGUGGCCCCUGAACAAAGAUGGCAUGCCAGUCCAUGAAGCAUUCUGUUUUCAA
ensembl:snRNA U6 U6 spliceosomal RNA